UGGUNACUGCGGAAGAUCAUUGCGGUGAACCCUAACCAAACAGAACCGCGCUCACGUCAUCCAUCACGCCUGCGGCGGCAUCGCCGUCGUUCGGCAAACACCCCAGCCACGCCCUCCUCGGAGGCGUGGCCGGGGUAAAAGAACCCACGGCGCCGAAGGCGUCAAGGAACACUGUGCCUAACGCGGGGGUCUGGCUGGCUUGCCGGCCGCCCCUCGCGUUUCGAUGCUAUUUAAAUCCACACGACUCUCGGCAACGGAUAUCUCGGCUCUCGCAUCGAUGAAGAACGUAGCGAAAUGCGAUACCUGGUGUGAAUUGCAGAAUCCCGCGAACCAUCGAGUCUUUGAACGCAAGUUGCGCCCGAGGCCACCCGGCCGAGGGCACGCCUGCCUGGGCGUCACGCUAGAACACGCUCCAAACCCCCUACGUUGGGCGGAAGACGCGGCGUCUGGCUUUCGUGCCGCGAGGCGCGGUAGGCCAAGAUCGGCUGCCGGCGUACGAGCCGGCACAGCGCGUGGUGGCGACUCGCUUAUACUCGUCGCAGUGCAUCCGGCCGUACUGGACGACGCCCUAAGACCAUCGAGGAGCGCUAGCGCUCGACGCACCAGUCAGCGGACUCCGUAUUACU
rnacentral:misc_RNA from 1 species